rnacentral:rRNA from 1 species
UAUCAAUAAGCGGAGGAAAAGAAACCAACAGGGANUGCCCUAGUAANGCGAGUGAGCGGCAACAGCUCAAAUUUGAAAUCUGGCUCCUUUGGGGUCCGAGUUGUAAUUUGCAGAGGGUGCUUUGGCAUCGGCGGCGGUCUAAGUUCCUUGGAACAGGACAUCGCAGAGGGUGAGAAUCCCGUACGUGGGCGCCUGCCUUUGCCGUGUAAAGCCCCUUCGACGAGUCGAGUUGUUUGGGAAUGCAGCUCUAAAUGGGAGGUAAAUUUCUUCUAAAGCUAAAUACCGGCCAGAGACCGAUAGCGCACAAGUAGAGUGAUCGAAAGAUGAAAAGUACUUUGGAAAGAGAGUCAAAUAGCACGUGAAAUUGUUGAAAGGGAAGCGCUUGCAGCCAGACUUGCCCGCAGUUGCUCACCCAGGCUCCGGCCUGGGGCACUCUUCUGCGGGCAGGCCAGCAUCAGUUUGGGCGGUUGGAUAAAGGCCUCUGUCACGUAUCUCCCUUCGGGGUGACCUUAUAGGGGAGGCGCAAUGCAACCAGCCCGGACUGAGGUCCGCGCAUCUGCUAGGAUGCUGGCGUAAUGGCUGUAAGCGGCCCGUCUUGAANCAACGG